UACGUAGGGGGCAAGCGUUGUCCGGAAUCAUUGGGCGUAAAGCGCGUGUAGGCGGUUCGGUAAGUCCGCUGUGAAAGUCGGGGGGCUCAACCCUCGGAUGCCGGUGGAUACUGUCGAGCUUGAGUACGGAAGAGGCGAGUGGAAUUCCUGGUGUAGCGGUGAAAUGCGUAGAUAUCGGGAGGAACACCAGUGGCGAAGGCGACUACCUGGCCUGUUCUUGACGCUGAGGCGCGAAAGCUAGGGGAGCAAACGGG
rnacentral:rRNA from 1 species